rnacentral:misc_RNA from 1 species
GAAAUAAAGAAAGCUUAUUAUGCAGUAGGUUUCUCAAUUAUUUUUCCUUUUCCUAAUUUGUGUAUUUUCACUUUUUCAGUUCUAUUUGUGCAUCUCUAUGCUCUUCCUCUAUCUCUGAUUUGGGAUUGUGUGUGCAUUACUGUUAUUGGCAUUUGAAUUUGUAGGAUUUCAGCUUCUACUUCCUGAGGUAGACUGUACUUUUUAUUUCAUGUAUUCUGAUUUUAAUUCCAUGCUAUUCUGCAGCUGGCAAAGAAACUCCAUCCUGA